AGAGUUUGAUCAUGGCUCAGGAUGAACGCUGGCGGCGUGCCUAAUACAUGCAAGUCGAACGGGAAAUUUGUAUAGAGAGCUUGCUCAAAGUACUUAUUUCUAGUGGCGAACGGGUGAGUAACACGUGGGUAACCUGCCUUUCAGUUGGGGAUAACUAGAGGAAACUUUAGCUAAUACCGAAUAACUGUUAAGACGGCAUCGUCUAAACAUAAAAGGGGCUUUUGCCCCGCUGAUAGAUGGACUCGCGACGCAUUAGGUAGUUGGUGAGAUAACAGCUCACCAAGCCAAGGAUGCGUAGCCGACCUGAGAGGGUGAUCGGCCACAAUGGGACUGAGACACGGCCCAUACUCCUACGGGAGGCAGCAGUAGGGAGUUUUCGGCAAUGGGGGGAACCCUGACCGAGCAACGCCGCGUGAACGAAGAAGGUCUUCGGAUUGUAAAGUUCUGUUGUAGGGGAAUAAAGGUCGGAAGAAGAGAAUGUUUCCGAUUUGAAGGUACCCUGCCAGAAAGCCACGGCUAACUACGUGCCAGCAGCCGCGGUAAUACGUAGGUGGCAAGCGUUAUCCGGAAUUAUUGGGCGUAAAGAGUGAGCAGGCGGCCUUUUAAGUCUGAAGUCAAAUGCAGUGGCUCAACCACUGUCCGCUUUGGAAACUGAGAGGCUAGAGUACGAGAGAGGUAUAUGGAAUUCCAUGUGGAGCGGUGAAAUGCGUAGAUAUAUGGAGGAACACCAGUGGCGAAGGCGAUAUACUGGAUCGAUACUGACGCUCAGUCACGAAAGCGUGGGUAGCAAAUAGGAUUAGAUACCCUGGUAGUCCACGCCGUAAACGAUGGAUACUAGGUGUAGGAGGUAUCGACCCCUUCUGUGCCGGAGUUAACACAAUAAGUAUCCCACCUGGGGAGUACGGCCGCAAGGCUGAAACUCAAAUGAAUUGACGG
rnacentral:rRNA from 1 species